ensembl:lncRNA
UUAACUUCAUGUGAAUCCAAAGUCGACGAGUCAGUGGUGCUAAGGGAAUAUGCUACAGUAACACUGCAGUAAUCGCGUUAUUGUUGACGGAGGACCGGUUUUAUUGUCGGUGUUUGUGCCGCGGGAGUCAUGUCAGAGACUCCGGACACGGACACCCUGGAGCUGGAGUCCGAGGAGAAGCAGGAUUCUCCAGAGAAGCACUGUAACCCAAUAUCAAACUGAAGGAGAAACAUCAAAACCUGGGACAAAACCCGGCGGCUCGGACUUUCUGAUGAAGAGACACCAGAAAGGAGUGAGUCAGAGGAAAAACACACCGCUGUGUUCCUGUGGCUCAGUGGUAGAGGAUUGUGUUAGCAGCGCAAAAGAUUGUGGGUCCGAUUCCCAGGGAACACGUGUUAGGCAAAAUAACAGAAAAAAACCUUAGCCUGAAUGCACUGUAAGUCACUUUGGAUAAAAACAUUUUACUAGGAAAUACUAUUUCAAGCUUUCUACGUCACAGUUUCCUGUUUAAUGAAAUGUGUUACUUGCUGUUUCUUUGUAAUUAUUUGGGAAAUUUACUUACAAUUUCUGAGUGAAACUAUCAGGUUCUUUUUGUCAGUGUAAAAAGACUGAAAUAGCAUUUUCUUGNAAAUAAAUAAUAAUAAUAAGUUUCA